rnacentral:rRNA from 1 species
CAGUCGCCGCGGUAAUACGUAGGGUGCAAGCGUUAAUCGGAAUUACUGGGCGUAAAGCGUGCGUAGGCGGCUUCUUAAGUCGGAUGUGAAAUCCCUGAGCUUAACUUAGGAAUUGCAUUCGAUACUGGGAAGCUAGAGUAUGGGAGAGGAUGGUAGAAUUCCAGGUGUAGCGGUGAAAUGCGUAGAGAUCUGGAGGAAUACCGAUGGCGAAGGCAGCCAUCUGGCCUAAUACUGACGCUGAGGUACGAAAGCAUGGGGAGCAAACAGGAUUAGAUACCCCUGUAGUCCCUGUCUCUUAUAC